CCAUCUUAAAACCAAUUGAUGAUAAGAGGAGAGGCCCAUGAGACUUAUAUAGUGGAUUAAGCUCUUUGUGUACACCGAUGUGGGAUAUUAUUAUAUUCAUUUUUAUGUUUCAAUUGCCAACACGUGGAUACAAAGAGUUGCACAAGAGAAAUUCUUAAAAGAAUUCCGAAUUUAAGAUUUCUAUACAUUUAUAGGAUGAGGAAGCCUUAUGAUGAAGACGAUGAUAGCAACUCAUUGAGUGACUUGGCUAAUAUCUCAGAGGAUAUGUCUUUCAUAUGCUGUACAACAAGCUGAUAUGAAGAGGGAGGCUAUGGUUCCUCUUUCAAUGUUUCCAUCAAGUCUAAGAGUAUUGAUGUUGGGUGGUUUAGGGUAUCUGUGGCAGUACAUGAACGACAUUGGUUCGAUGCUACCAAAUCUUAUUGGCCUCAACUUACAACUUUAUGCUUUUCGAGGCCCAGUGUGGGAUAUAGAAUUGAGACACUGAUUUGGUAGAAUUGAGAGCUCAACAUGGAUGCCUCCCUUGGCUUAAGCUCAUAAGUCUACGAUAUUGCUACAAAUUAAAGCAUCUCGAUUGGUUGUGCGGUAACACAAGGGAAACACCUGUAAUUGAAUUAGUAGAUUGCAAACCACGUCAAUUCAUUACUCUUUUAUCUAAAAUGCUUAUGCUUGUAUUUCAGGUAAAUGAGAGAAGAUAAUGGGUAUUAUCAUGUUGUCCUGAAUUCAAGGUUAGUAAUUUGUUGAGAAUUAUGAAACCUGAAGAUUGAACUAUGUUUGUAACCAAAAACAAUUCAGUUUAAUUUCUGUUAAAACAUUACAUGCUGCUCUUUUCCAUAGUUCAAUAUUCUCUCUGCAUUAUGCAUGAUUUUCACUUUGUUUUGAUUGUAUAUUGAAUUAGUUGAUGCGUUUUUAUAUUUGAUGAAAAUUUUGAAAUUGUAUCGUUGUUGGAGCUGUACAUACCCAACCGCUAUUAUUGCAAAGGAUCAAAACUCCGUGUUUGUGGUUGCGUUUCUGGUGCGAUGAAGGUUUUCGGUGAAAUGGCUGAGAAGGACAUUGUAUCAUGGAACUCUGUUCAUUGUUUUUAGUCGAAUGCCUAAUCCUGUGCAGUGAGCUUAUAGAUGGAAUCGCUGUAUCUCUACUUUCAAGGAUGCUAAUUGCCAAACCCGAACUUGUCUUCUUGGAACACGAUCAUAACAGGGUAUGCAAACAGGGGAAGAGGCGAGGUUUUUCUCCAAGAUGCAUUCGUGUAGUGUUCGUAUGGAUGAGUUCUCAUUUUUAGUGUUUUUAGCUGCGUUGCUGGAUUGUCUUCCCUCGAGCAGCUUGCCGAUGAAGCAUGUGAAGCAGCUGAUCAUGAUGUUCCAGAAGAGUACAUGGAAUCUAUUGAGCCUUCGAAUGCUUGGACUGAGAUGCGGGACGAGUAAUUGGCCGAUUCCAUGUGGGAUGUAUAUGUGAAUCGUGACGUAUGAGGAAGGCUACCCGGGUUUCGGAAUAUCCAAUAUCCGUCCAUCUAAGAGCGAUGCGUAGCUUUCUUUAGAAGAUCAAUGUUUUUGUGAAUCUUAUCGUAUUGUGAUAGUUGUUUAAAUCAUGUUUUGUGAAUAUUUGAAGAUUCAAAGAUUGACCUGACCUCUUAA